AUGGCGACCAUCACGGCGCCUCCCUGCUCCCCCUCUCCAUCGUGUAUGUUCCUCACCCGCAGCUAUUGCUGCUCGAGGUCGGCGCCAAGAGCGGCCAUCCGCUCAUCUGCUGUGGCGGCGGCCCGGCAGACGCUCUCCUCCGGAUGGGACCUGUCCGGGCUGUCGGGAGCGCGACCGGCAGCUGGAAAAGCCCGUCUCGAGGAGUUGGACACCAGCAACAUGCUUCUCCGCCAGCGAAUCAUCUUUCUCGGCUCCCCGGUGGAUGAUUUGACUGCGGAUCUUAUCACCAGUCAACUCUUACUGUUGGAUGCAAAGGACCACACAAAGGAUAUCAAGUUGUUUAUUAAUUCACCUGGAGGCUCCAUUACUGCAGGAAUGGGGAUUUAUGAUGCCAUGAAAUUUUGCAAGGCUGAUAUCUCAACUGUUUGCUUUGGAUUGGCGGCUUCCAUGGGUGCAUUUUUGUUAGCUGCUGGGACAAAGGGAAAGAGAUUUUGCAUGCCAAAUGCGAGAAUUAUGAUCCAUCAGCCAUCAGGGGGAGCUGGUGGGAAGGCCACAGAGAUGGGAUUGCAGAUAACAGAAAUGCUCUAUGAGAAGAUAAAGAUCAACAAGAUAAUGUCAAGGAUCACUGGAAAGCCUGAAGAGCAGAUUGACGAGGACACGAAGUUUGACUGUUUCAUGAGUCCUUGGGAGGCCAAGGAUUAUGGAAUAAUUGACAGCAUUGUAGAUGAGGGCAAACUUGGAUUGGUAGCUCCUGUAUCGGGAGCUGUGCCACCCCCAAAAUCACGUGUGUGGUACUUGUGGAACGCUUCAGGACCAACUAGAAAAAUAAUGAAAAAUCUACCUUCAGAGGAAAAGCUCAUUCGAAAUGGCAAUGGCAGUGUAAGUGGAGCUGAUGGAAUGCUGAAGGAGGCCUCAUCAACUUGA
rnacentral:rRNA from 1 species